CCUCUAAGUGGUCACAAAGCACCGAGCUGACCUCCCUGUGCUAUGCGGCUGCUUCCCACUAGCUAUUUUCCAUUUGGUAGUGUAUAUGUGUCAGUGCAAUUCUCUCACUUCGUCCCAGCUUUGUAUACAAUUUUUAAAAGUUAUUUCUUCUGUCAUCAAUUAAGGUAUACUUCUUUGAUAGCAGAAACGAUCCCCCUCUACCAGCACCCAAUAUUAGGUGUUCAAACAGGUGUUUAAUUAGAUGUUAAACAAAUAUUGACUGAAGGGAUAGAUAGAAGGUGUUAGAAUAGAGAACUUCCCUGCUCAGAAAAACUCUGACUUCCCAGCGCCUUCAGAAUAACAUGCAAACUUAUCAGAGACCUCACCUUCCCCAUCCACGUUGUCUACCUACUCCUGCCAGCCGGAUGCUUACUCCCAAUACAUUUUUUUUUUUUUUUAGCAUCUCUGUAUCUCCUCUCUCAACCUGGAAUGCUCUUUCCCUUCACCUUCAGGGCUUAACUAAAAUACCAUCUCUUUCACGAAGCCUUCCCUGAUCCCUUAGAUGUGACUUCAUCACUUGCCUUGUCCUCUCAGCAGCUGGAGUGAGGCCAUGAAAGAUGAAAGCUGCGGAGCCAGGUGGCCUGAAUCCACUUAGUUUUGUGACCUUUGGCCUCUCAUUCCUGCAGCCUCUUCCGCCACGGAGCACAGGCUCCGGACGUGCAGGCCCAGCGGCCAUGGCUCACAGGUCCAGCCGCUCCGCGUCAUGUGGGAUCUUCCCGGACCGGGGCACGAACCCGUGUCCCUCGCAUCGGCAGGCGGACCCCCAACCAACUGCACCACCAGGGAAGCCCACAUCUGUAUCUUGAAAUAUACAAUGGAUUUACCUAAUAAAUGUUUAAUUACAUCAA